GGAGGUGUAGCUCAGUGGUAUAGCACUUGCCCAACAUGCAUGAGGCCCUGGGUUCUAUGCUCAGCACUUCAA
rnacentral:tRNA from 1 species